UGCGAUACGUAAUGUGAAUUGCAAUUCAGUGAAUCAUCGAGUCUUUGAACGCACAUUGCGCCCCCUGGUAUUCCGGGGGGCAUGCCUGUCCGAGCGUCAUUGCUGCCCUCAAGCACGGCUUGUGUGUGGCCCCGUCCUCCGAUCCCGGGGGACGGGCCCGAAAGGCAGCGGCGGCACCGCGUCCGGUCCUCGAGCGUAUGGGGCUUUGUCACCCGCUCUGUAGGCCCGGCCGGCGCUUGCCGAUCAACCCAAAUUUAUCCAGGUUGACCUCGGAUCAGGUAGGGAUACCCGCUGAACUUAAGCAUAUCAAUAAGCGGAGGAAAAGAAACCAACAGGGAUUGCCCCAGUAACGGCGAGUGAAGCGGCAAGAGCUCAAAUUGAAGCUGGCUCCUUCGGGGUCCGCAUUGUAAUUUGCAGAGGAUGCUUCGGGAGCGGUCCCCAUCUAAGUGCCCUGGAACGGGACGUCAUAGAGGGUGAGAAUCCCGUAUGGGAUGGGGUGUCCGCGCCGGUGAAGCUCCUUCGACGAGUCGAGUUGUUUGGGAAUGCAGCUCUAAAUGGGUGGUAAAUUUCAUCUAAAGCUAAAUAUUGGCCGGAGACCGAUAGCGCACAAGUAGAGUGAUCGAAAGAUGAAAGCAUUUGAAAAGAGAGUUAAAAAGCACGUGAAAUUGUUGAAAGGGAAGCGCUUGCGACCAGACUCGCUCGCGGGGUUCAGCCGGCAUUCGUGCCGGUGUACUUCCCCGCGGGCGGGCCAGCGUCGUUUGGCGGUCGGUCAAAGGCCCUCGGAAGGUAACGCCCCUAGGGGCGUCUUAUAGCCGAGGGUGCAAUGCGACCUGCCUAGACCGAGGAACGCGCUCGGCUCGACGCUGGCAUAAUGGUCGUAAACACCCGUUUGAAACACGGACCAAGGAGUCUAACAUCUACGCGAGUGUUCGGGUGUCAAACCCGUGCGCGAAGUGAAAGCGAACGGAGGUGGGAACCCUCACGGGUGCACCAUCGACCGAUCCUGAAGCUUCGGAGGAUUUGAGUAAGAGCGUAGCUGUUGGGACCCGAAAGAUGGUGAACUAUGCCUGAAUAGGGCGAAGCCAGAGGAAACUCUGGUGGAGGCUCGUAGCGGUUCUGACGUGCAAAUCGAUCGCGAAUUUGGUAUAGGGGCGAAAGACUA
rnacentral:rRNA from 1 species